UACCUACAUAUGCAGUUAUAUUAAGAAUUCUCGGAAUUGAUACGGUGACUAAUGCAGUCAGUUUUGUUUUGCCGUUUGCUUAUAUAGAUUGCUGUGUGUGCAUUUGCAAACUUUUAAUAUCUAUAGCUAAUCCACUUGGCACAGAUUUACGAAAAAUGCUAUUGUUUGCAUGUAACUGCAGUGCUCAACAAAAUUCUUAACAUUCUGCCACAGGUGCACCUCCCCAAAGCCGCCCACACCUAGUUGACGCUUCAACUGCCAAGGACCGAAAUAUCCCAAAGAGUUAUUCAUUAUAAAUUUGUUACGUAGGAUUUAAGCGCGCAGAGUGUAUCUUUUUUUAGUCGCGAGCCAGUUCAGCGCCACGCAAUUGUAUUACCGGCCACCCGUUUAACUUCCGCACAAAAUCACAUUAAACAAGCAAUAGACGACAAA